rnacentral:tRNA from 1 species
UCUAAUAUGGCAGAAUGGAGUGCAGUGGAUUUAAACCCCAUAUAUAAAGUUAAAACUUUUUUUAGAA